rnacentral:rRNA from 1 species
UACGGAGGAUGCGAGCGUUAUCCGGAUUUAUUGGGUUUAAAGGGUGCGUAGGCGGGCCUUUAAGUCAGCGGUGAAAUGGCGCGGCUCAACCGUGCAGCUGCCGUUGAAACUGGAGGCCUUGAGUUCAGGCGAGGCAGGCGGAAUGCGCCGUGUAGCGGUGAAAUGCUUAGAUAUGGCGCAGAACCCCGAUUGCGAAGGCAGCCUGCCAGACUGCGACUGACGCUGAGGCACGAAAGCGUGGGUAUCAAAC